rnacentral:lncRNA from 1 species
AGGUGGAAUCAUCUUAGGAUGUACUUAGAUUUGUGAUGAAAUCUCGGUUCUUUAGUUUGAGCAACUGCCUCAGUAUUGUCACAAUAAAGAGGCACUGUUGUUCAAUUCCAGAAACCAUACCCAACUAUAAGAUGAACUUUUUUAUCCAGACGGCUUCCUUAGCAGCCUAACUUAUAGUAAUGUGCUCGGCCUCAGAAUUGAGUCAGUAAUAGUUUGAUGUUUAGAACUCUUCCAACUUACUGCAUCACCAUAUAGAAUAAAAAUAUAUCUAAAUAUGAGUUUGCUAUCAUCCGGAUUAGAUUGAAAACUAAAAUCUGUAAAGCUUUCUAGUUUCAAAUCAGAUCCACCCACUAUAAAAAAAGAAAGUUUUUGCGAUGAAAUUAUUUACGACAGAAAUAUUUUCAUCGAUAAUAAGAGUAUUUAUGAUGAAAAAUUAAAUUCAUCAUAA